rnacentral:lncRNA from 1 species
UCACACUAUUUGUGUACGUAACACAUGCUGCGUUUCAGGGUGAAUGAUCUAAAAACAUUAAUUUCUUCCUCAGCGAUCAGUGGCAUAUCAUGGAAAAACCUCUUUUUGACAGUGGUUGGUCGGAUGUGAUGGGAGAGUCAUGUCGGCUGUGAGCGUUUAGAGUCAGCGGGGAUACAGAGGCUCCAGUGUAACGAGAGAGAGGCCUUUAUGUGCUGUGACUCAGAUGAACACAGCAGUUGUUGGGGAAAAGGUCAGUGGAUUUUGUUGGUAUUCUGCAGCCGUGCGCUUUUUGGCAGGACACUUGACGGCGCAGCGGGCACUCGAGCUUGAAAUGAUGUUGCUUCCUCCGGCCAGGAGGCGAUGGCUCCCAUGCCACACAGCAUACGCAGGAUGCCAUAAAUCCUACAGUUCUAGUCACGGCACAAGAAGAUCUCUUUAUGGCCCGUAUGGAGAGGAGGAAUGAUUACAACGACCCAUAACUGUUGCAGCGUACAUAUGACGUGUGAGUAUUGUUUUAACAGAAACUAAAACUGAGACUGAGAAGGUUUGGAAAAAAUAACCCUGAUGAUAUCACUGUGAUGUCAACAGGGUUAUCAGAUUGGACUUGAAACCUAAAACUGGAGGUGUGCGGUUUCAAAUACUUGGGCAUUUAGUAGGCAGGCAGUGUUAAAUGAAAGAGACUAUAGUUGCAUUGUGGGAAAUGUAGGAUCCUGUGUCUUUGGAUGUUGACUCACACUUGACUUGAAAAGCCAGGAUACAGAUUGAUAAAUAUAUAGGAUUGAUUUUGCCCAUUUGUUUAGUAAUCUGCCUCUCAUGAGUCUCAACUUUGCACUUAGAAGCACAAUACUAAAUCACUGCAGUGCCCCUUUUAAAGAUAUCGUGCGCAUCACUGACACUUGUGGUUUGGAGGAGCUACUUUAUAUUCCUUAUUGCUGUAAGACAUAUCUAAAUAAUACAUUAUUU